GGAUGUCUGCUUCGACCUAUUCUUGACCGCAGCACAUCCGUUUUCCUUACAGUAUGUAGUACGCAUUCUACCUUUUCCUACAAUGAAUCCACCAGCAGAAAUUCCUGUACACAUCUUAUCAACAAAGAAUUUGAACCUCAAAGAGUGGCUCAAAGAGGUCAGGAGGCACCUUCAACACUUUUAUUGGAGAUCUCCUUGUCUAGAUCAUCAGAUUCUCACUGUGUUACCUAGGCUGCAGUGCAGUGGUGCGAUCUCAACUCACUGCAACCUCUACCUCCUGGGUUCAAGCAAUUCUCCUGCCUCAGCCUCCCAAGUAGCUGGGAUUACAGGUGAGGAGACUGGUGUUAAGUAACUCGCCCAUCCAUGACCGCAUCAGUGGUUGAAAUGGGAUUGGAAUCUGGUCUUAAUCACUCUUCCAUAAUGCCUCCAUGGCAAGGGUGGCAGAGAGGAAGAAUUAUGCUGAGGAAGUAGAACUGACUAGAAGUCAUGAACAAUGCUUGGUGAUUAGAUUCUAGAAUGGACGAAUAAGGCUCUGCUUUGCUCCCAAGCUUCUGUGUCAGUAAUGGCUUCAUUCAUCUACACAGGGAACAGAGGAUGGAGAGGUGAUGUCUUCAGGCUAGGGCAUGUACAGGGUGACCAAAUCUGACCUUGUAUUGUGCAAACUCAGGACUUUCGUAGAGGAAAGGAGUCACCAUCCAGAGGGAUGCCAGAUAAAAAUGUACAAUGGGACUAAGCCAGGCAAACAGUGGCACAUGUUCACGUUAGACAUGUGGAAUCUGAUAUUUCUGUAAGAAAUACAGAAGAACAUGGGAAAAAUGGCAACAGAGGCCUAAAACUCUGCAGAAAUGGCUGAUCUUAUAAUUUGUGAACUGUUAUUUAUGGUUGUUGGUGGAGCCCAUGGUAGUGAAGGAGAUGGCUCAGGGAGACAACAUUAAAGGCGAUAAGGAGAAAAACUAAUGAUCAAAUUCUAGUGAAUGAAAGGGAAGUAAGGAUAGUAAGUAUAAUAAUAGAGUUUCAAAUUAACAUUUAAUUUUAAAAUUAAUUAUAUGCUACUACUGUUUAUUAUUUAACCCUUCCCUUCCAAGUUAAUUUCAUUUACACUAUUCAUGAGGCUACACAGUUUAGUAAAGGGUCCAUUUAAGCAGGAUGAAUUUAACUCACUAAUUUCAGAAUGAAAGCAAAAGCUCUCUGCAUCUAUGCUGAAUUAUUUGACAUAAAUAGCUGUCUUGCUACAGAAAGCAAAUAGAGUACACUCUCCACUAUAAUUAGAAUUAACAUCA
rnacentral:lncRNA from 1 species